UACGUAGGGUGCAAGCGUUGUCCGGAAUCAUUGGGCGUAAAGCGCGCGUAGGCGGCCCGAUAAGUCCGCUGUGAAAGUCAACGGCUCAACUGUUGAAAGCCGGUGGAUACUGUCGGGCUAGAGUACGGAAGAGGCAAGUGGAAUUCCUGGUGUAGCGGUGGAAUGCGCAGAUAUCAGGAGGAACACCCAUAGCGAAGGCAGCUUGCUGGGACGUUACUGACGCUAAGGCGCGAAAGCGUGGGGAGCGAACAGG
rnacentral:rRNA from 1 species